UAAAUAUCAGCUGGUAAUU
rnacentral:miRNA from 4 species